GACGAACGCUGGCGGCGUGCUUAACACAUGCAAGUCGAACGGAAAGGCCCUGCUUUUGUGGGGUGCUCGAGUGGCGAACGGGUGAGUAACACGUGAGUAACCUGCCCUUGACUUUGGGAUAACUUCAGGAAACUGGGGCUAAUACCGGAUAGGAGCUCCUGCUGCAUGGUGGGGGUUGGAAAGUUUCGGCGGUUGGGGAUGGACUCGCGGCUUAUCAGCUUGUUGGUGGGGUAGUGGCUUACCAAGGCUUUGACGGGUAGCCGGCCUGAGAGGGUGACCGGCCACAUGGGGACUGAGAUACGGCCCAGACCCCUACGGGGGGCAGAAGUGGGGAAUAUUGCACAAUGGGGGGAAGCCUGAGGAAGCAACGCCGCGGGGGGGAUGGCGGCCUUGGGGUUGUAAACCGCUUUCGCCUGUGACGAAGGGGGAGUGACGGUAAUGGGAAAAGAAGCACCGGCUAACUACGU
rnacentral:rRNA from 1 species